GGAUACGAGUGGCGACCGCAUGGUCAGCUACUGGAAAGAUUUAUUGGUUGGGGAUGGGCUCGCGGCCUAUCAGCUUGUUGGUGAGGUAAUGGCUCACCAAGGCGUCGACGGGUAGCCGGCCUGAGAGGGUGACCGGCCACACUGGGACUGAGACACGGCCCAGACUCCUACGGGAGGCAGCAGUGGGGAAUAUUGCACAAUGGGCGCAAGCCUGAUGCAGCAACGCCGCGUGAGGGAUGACGGCCUUCGGGUUGUAAACCUCUUUUAGCAGGGAAGAAGCGAAAGUGACGGUACCUGCAGAAAAAGCGCCGGCUAACUACGUGCCAGCAGCCGCGGUAAUACGUAGGGCGCAAGCGUUAUCCGGAAUUAUUGGGCGUAAAGAGCUCGUAGGCGGUUUGUCGCGUCUGCUGUGAAAUCCGGAGGCUCAACCUCCGGCCUGCAGUGGGUACGGGCAGACUAGAGUGCGGUAGGGGAGAUUGGAAUUCCUGGUGUAGCGGUGGAAUGCGCAGAUAUCAGGAGGAACACCGAUGGCGAAGGCAGAUCUCUGGGCCGUAACUGACGCUGAGGAGCGAAAGGGUGGGGAGCAAACAGGCUUAGAUACCCUGGUAGUCCACCCCGUAAACGUUGGGAACUAGUUGUGGGGUCCAUUCCACGGAUUCCGUGACGCAGCUAACGCAUUAAGUUCCCCGCCUGGGGAGUACGGCCGCAAGGCUAAAACUCAAAGGAAUUGACGGGGACCCGCACAAGCGGCGGAGCAUGCGGAUUAAUUCGAUGCAACGCGAAGAACCUUACCAAGGCUUGACAUAUGCGAGAACGGGCCAGAAAUGGUCAACUCUUUGGACACUCGUAAACAGGUGGUGCAUGGUUGUCGUCAGCUCGUGUCGUGAGAUGUUGGGUUAAGUCCCGCAACGAGCGCAACCCUCGUUCUAUGUUGCCAGCACGUAAUGGUGGGAACUCAUGGGAUACUGCCGGGGUCAACUCGGAGGAAGGUGGGGAUGACGUCAAAUCAUCAUGGGAUCGUAUAGACUAGUCGUACAGAGGAGAGAUGCACGCGUGUAGA
rnacentral:rRNA from 1 species